GUGCUCGCUUCGGCAGCACAUAUACUAAAAUUGGAAUGAUACAGAGAAGAUUAGCAUGACCCCUGCGCAGGGAGUGACAUGCAAAUUCAUGAAGCGUUCCAUAUUUUU
rnacentral:snRNA from 1 species